UUUUGGAGAAGACUUAAGCUGCAUGGUAGGACACGCACAUCUCUCUGGAGCAUAGAGGCACCAGCUUUGGUGUAUUCCCAAUGCCAAGUACAGUCCAUGGCAUGGAGUAAGUGCUCAAUCAACAUUUGCUGGACCAAACUGGAUUGAAUUGAAUUCAACUAAACUGCAUUGAAUUUUCCUGGUUGAUUCUCAUCUACCCUUAGGAAUGCGUAGACCACUGCUCCACCCUGUGCUCCAGCCUGCCCUUGAGUGUAUUAAACAGAGUCCACCUUCUAUUCUGAGGCCACGUGUCCUUGGCACCUCCCAUAGCCAAGAACUCAUUGCUCAGGCCCCGGUUCCAAAGACCAAACAGAUGUCCAGCUCCCCACACCCCGGUCCCCUAAGCUGACCCAUCUCAUCUGCCACUUCCUCGUACUUCCUUGCCUUGAGUGAAGGGCUCAGGAGAGGCCCAGGGCUCCGGGUGUGGCACUUGGGAGUUCAGCCAUUCCCUUUCUUCCGGGAUCUGGACAGCACGGUGCUGCCCACACAACCAGAGAGUAAGGUAGCUUCUGAGCAGCCUCACCUUUCAGCCUGAAGGGGACAGGGAGAGCGUGGCCCAGGCUGCUGGCAUGUCCCCGUAUCAGAAGACACACCUUUCAGUCCUGGCAACUCUGUAUGGUUGUGUGGUCCUUUAACUUUCCUAAGCCUCAGUUUCUUCCUUUGUAUCAUAGGGAGACUAAUAAUAAUACUUCCUGUCCCUACCUACCUCUCAAGCAGAGCCUCAAAUGAAAUAGGAUGCCCCACCUCUGAGCCCACACGGUCCCUCACA